GUUUGGGACACCUCCUGGGGACAGUUUGGGGCCUUUGGUGAGUCUGUAAGCAAUUUUGUCUGUUUUCAGAUUUUUCUUUGCUUUCUGUGUUUCUCUGUUGGUUUUGGAUGUUGUAAUAGCAAUGAAUCCUCUUUUCAAGAAAAUCAAAAACAGAAGAAUGCAGCAAAUAUCUAUCCCCAGCUACCGCUCUGAGAAGCUCAGUUCCUCCACCAUGGUGUCCAGUGGGUAAACCCCCAACAGAUCCACUUUCAACUCUCUAGAGGGUGACUUACAGACUUUACAGACACACCCAGAAUGUCCUGUAACCCCCAUCCCCAAAUAUUUCAUUUGUUUCCCACUUUUCAUUACUGAACAGCAAGUAUAGAACAGGUGUUAUUGGCAAAAGUGUUUGGAAUUUUUAAAAAAAAUCUGCAAUUCCCCCUCCUCAAUUCCCCCUCCCAAGUAUAAAAGACAGGCUAAAAUGUGUAAAGACUCAUCAAAGCUUGCAAAAUAGCUGUAUAGUAUACCAGAAUCUGUUACCCGCAAAAAGAGCUCAGUGUCUGGAAGGUUUAUUUACCUUAAGUUGAUCCCUUUUGCCCUCAACCAGCUGUUGCAGACUGUAUAGCUAAGAAUGGGAUGAGUCUGGCCCUGGUGAGGGGCAGGGGGCUGGAAGGUUCUUCAGUGGCCUUCUAAGGGGGCAGCCUGGGAGGGGGCGGAGAAGGAAAAGUGGAGGGGAUCCCUGUGAAGGAGGAAGGAAGGAUCAUUUGCCAAGCUGGGUCUGAAGGUGACAAGAAGAGGAGUGAGGAAAGCUCUUGACUGGCCUGCAGGAUUCCGCUAGGGCGCUCCCUCUGUCUCCUCUGUAGAUGUGUGCUGAGGUUUCUUUGUCCCUGUGUUUGUGUGUGUGUGUUCUAUAGCGGUAGCAUUAGAUGAGCGAUGUUUUCUCACUAUUCCUAACUAUUGUAACUUGAUAUUAAAAAAGACAAAACUCCACAGAAUUCCUGCCAUAGGCUUGCAAAAUGAAGCACUUUCGUUGUUGGGCGCUGAUGUUUAUGUUCUGGGCACCAUCCUGACCCUGCCUGGAUCACUAUAAUAU
rnacentral:lncRNA from 1 species